rnacentral:rRNA from 1 species
UGCAAGUCGAACGGUAACAGGUCUUCGGACGCUGACGAGUGGCGAACGGGUGAGUAAUACAUCGGAACGUGCCCAGUCGUGGGGGAUAACUACUCGAAAGAGUAGCUAAUACCGCAUACGAUCUGAGGAUGAAAGCGGGGGACCUUCGGGCCUCGCGCGAUUGGAGCGGCCGAUGGCAGAUUAGGUAGUUGGUGGGAUAAAAGCUUACCAAGCCGACGAUCUGUAGCUGGUCUGAGAGGACGACCAGCCACACUGGGACUGAGACACGGCCCAGACUCCUACGGGAGGCAGCAGUGGGGAAUUUUGGACAAUGGGCGAAAGCCUGAUCCAGCAAUGCCGCGUGCAGGAUGAAGGCCUUCGGGUUGUAAACUGCUUUUGUACGGAACGAAAAAGCUUCUCCUAAUACGAGAGGCCCAUGACGGUACCGUAAGAAUAAGCACCGGCUAACUACGUGCCAGCAGCCGCGGUAAUACGUAGGGUGCGAGCGUUAAUCGGAAUUACUGGGCGUAAAGCGUGCGCAGGCGGUUAUGUAAGACAGAUGUGAAAUCCCCGGGCUCAACCUGGGAACUGCAUUUGUGACUGCAUGGCUAGAGUACGGUAGAGGGGGAUGGAAUUCCGCGUGUAGCAGUGAAAUGCGUAGAUAUGCGGAGGAACACCGAUGGCGAAGGCAAUCCCCUGGACCUGUACUGACGCUCAUG